AUGGAACAAUCAAAAAUUAUAGAUACGUUGGAGACGUAUCUGUUAGCAAUUGCCGCAUUUUAUGAUUAUGAAAUUUGGCAAAUGGAUGUCAAAACUGCAUUCCUUCUUGGAUUUAUGGAAGAAGAGUUGUAUAUGAUGCAACCGGAAGGUUUUGUCGAUCCAAAGGGAGCUAACAAAGUGUGCAAGCUCCAGCGAUCCAUUUAUGGACUGGUGCAAGCCUCUCGGAGUUGGAAUAAAUGUUUUGAUAGUGUGAUCAAAGCAUAUGGUUUUAUACAGACUUUUGGAGAAGUCUGUAUUUACAAGAAAGUGAGUGGGAGCUCUGUAGCAUUUCUGAUAUUAUAUGUCGAUGACAUAUUGUUGAUUGGAAAUGAUAUAGAAUUUCUGGAUAGCAUAAAAGGAUAUUUGAAUAAGAGUUUUUCAAUGAAAGACCUCGGAGAAGCUGCUUAUAUAUUGGGCAUCAAGAUCUAUAGAGAUAGAUCGAGACGCUUAAUUGGUUUUUCACAAAGCACAUACCUUGACAAAGUUUUGAAGAAGUUCAAAAUGGAUCAAGCAAAGAAAGGGUUCUUGCCUGUGUUCCAAGGUGUGAAGUUCAGUAAGACUCAAUGCCCGACCAGUGCAGAAGAUAGAGAGAAAAUGAGAGAUGUUCCCUAUGCUUCAGCCAUAGGCUCUAUCAUGUAUGCAAUGCUGUGUACCAGACCUGAUGUGUGCUAUGCUAUUAGUUUAGCAGGGAGGUACCAAAGUAAUCCAGGAGUAGAUUACUGGAUAGCGGUCAAGAACAUCCUGAAAUACCUGCAAAGGAUGAAGGAUAUGUUUCUUGUUUAUGAAGGUGACAAAGAGCUCGUCGUAAAUGGUUACGUCGAUGCA
rnacentral:rRNA from 1 species